rnacentral:SRP_RNA from 1 species
GGUCGGGCCCGAUGCACGGGUGGUCCCGCGAACCGGGUCAGGCCUUGAUCGGAGCAGCCCUAAGUGGCGUUUGCCCGGUGCCGUUGGUGUCCUGACCGUC